rnacentral:rRNA from 1 species
GCUGGCGGCAUGCCUAACACAUGCAAGUCGAACGAGAAAGUUCCUUCGGGAGCGAUUAAAGUGGCGCACGGGUGAGUAACGCGUAGACAAUCUGCCCUUCAGUCUGGGACAACUUUUCGAAAGGAGAGCUAAUACCGGAUAACAAUGUUUAACCUAAGUUAAGUAUUUGAAAGCUUUAUGUGCUGAAGGAGGGGUCUGCGUCCCAUUAGCUAGUUGGUAAGGUAAAGGCUUACCAAGGCGACGAUGGGUAGCGGGUUUGAGAGGACGAUCCGCCACACUGGAACUGAGACACGGUCCAGACUCCUACGGGAGGCAGCAGUGGGGAAUAUUGCACAAUGGAGGCAACUCUGAUGCAGCAAUGUCGCGUGAGUGAAGAAGGCCCUUGGGUCGUAAAGCUCUUUUAUGGGGGAAGAUGAUGACGGUACCCCAAGAAUAAGCACCGGCUAACUAUGUGCCAGCAGCCGCGGUAAUACAUAGGGUGCGAGCGUUGUUCGGAAUUACUGGGCGUAAAGGGCGCGCAGGCGGAAUAGUAAGUCGGAGGUGAAAGCCCGGGGCUCAACCCCGGAGGGUCUUUCGAAACUGCUAAUCUAGAGAGGGUCAGGGGCCGGCAGAAUUCCUGGUGUAGAGGUGAAAUUCGUAGAUAUCAGGAGGAAUACCGGUGGCGAAGGCGGCCGGCUGGGGCCACUCUGACGCUGAGGCGCGAAAGCGUGGGGAGCAAACAGGAUUAGAUACCCUGGUAGUCCACGCCGUAAACGAUGAGCACUGGACGUCCGGAGGGUUCGACCCUUCUGGGUGUUUCAGCUAACGCAUUAAGUGCUCCGCCUGGGGAGUAC